UUUUUAAAUAUGUUGUUAUGUUUACCAACGACGUGUUUUAUCAUUACAUCUAAAAUGGCUUUACCACCUUUCAAACAAGAAAGAAAAAUAUGUUAUGAAGCAAGAGACAAUUUUUGGAAAUGUUUAGAGCAAAAUAUAGAAGAAACAAAAUGUAAAACUUUAAAAAUAUUAUAUGAAAAAUCUUGUCCAAAACAGUGGGUGGAUCAUUUCAAUAGACAAAGAAAAUUAGAAAUUUACAAGAAAAAUUUUGAUUACACAAAAAUUCAACAAGAUAAAGUGGAAGAAUAAACAAUAAUUAUAUAUUUAAUUGUAUAAUAUUCUUUAAAUUUAAAUACAAUAGUAAUUUAACGAAUUAAUAUGCAAGUUGGUAUUGAUUUCAAGAAGAUCUGGAAAUAAAAAUAAAUUGUAAAUUUUUAAAAUUUGAUAUAAAAUUAUACUUGAU